rnacentral:lncRNA from 12 species
GCACUCAAAUAACGGAUGUUGCAUAACAAAAUGACAACAUACCUCAUUGUUAAUUUUUAUGUGAGCUGCUGAAUGUUCUUCAGUGGCUCCUACUUAUAGAUUUCCUCUUGCUAAGUGGACAGCAUAGCAUAGAUCGGAGUUCAGGGAGAUUUUGCAGACCCCACUCCUUUCUCCUCAUUUAUUUAGAUCUGGGAAUUAGGCUGAGAGAAUCAGGUGACUGGCUGGGUCAUCACCAGAUUCUCAGAGCUGCUGGAGCCACUGAGGGUUGCUCUGUCCGUACUGGAACAUUAAUGUAAAGAGAAAGGUCUCAUUUGUAAUUAAUCAAGCGGUAGCGAGAGCGAGUGUGGGGAGCUUGCAUUGAUUCCUAGCACAUCAAACAAAAUGGCGCCCAGCAGCCAGCUAUCACAGCCUUGGAGAGGCUUGCCAAAUUGGAUUAGCAAACCAAAUGUCGGUUUUAAUGCCUGAGAGAUGGACGAGGCACUUAUUAAAUGGUCCACAGGCAGGGAUGUUUCGAGCACUUAAUCAACCCUUCAUUUCCCUCCUCCAGGGAACAGGGAAGCCUCAAUGCCACCCAUGGUGAAAAAUUACCAAUCCCUGCAGGAUCUCUCUCUGCCACUUUCACUACAGAACGUGCAUUCAUUAUAGCAAGAGCCCAAGGAAGACAAUUCAGAGCAAGCACCCACCUCCAUCCCCAGCAUCCAGGGCUUUGAAGUGGGACCUACCAGUUCACAGGU